rnacentral:rRNA from 1 species
GUCCUUGCCGUAACUAUGUAUACUUGGUGUUAUUGGGCUCAACCCUGAUAGUACCGUAGCUAACGCGAUAAGUAUACCGCCUGGGAGUACGCUCGCAAGGGUAAACUCAAAGAAUUGACGGGACCCGCACAAGCAGUGGAGCAUGUGGUUUAAUUCGAUGCAACGCGAAGAACCUUACCUGGGCUUGACAUGCAUGUGACCGGUACAGAAAAUGUACUUUUCUCGCAAGAGACAGAUGCACAGGUGCUGCAUGGCUGUCGU